AUUGAACGCUGGCGGCAGGCCUAACACAUGCAAGUCGAGCGGAUGAGAGGAGCUUGCUUCUCGAUUCAGCGGCGGACGGGUGAGUAAUGCCUAGGAAUCUGCCUGGUAGUGGGGGACAACGUUUCGAAAGGAACGCUAAUACCGCAUACGUCCUACGGGAGAAAGCAGGGGACCUUCGGGCCUUGCGCUAUCAGAUGAGCCUAGGUCGGAUUAGCUAGUUGGUGAGGUAAUGGCUCACCAAGGCGACGAGCCGUAACUGGUCUGAGAGGAUGAUAGGUCACACUGGAACUGAGCGACGGGCCAGACGCCUACGGGAGGCAGCAGUGGGGAAUAUUGGACAAUGGGCGAAAGCCUGAUCCAGCCAUGCCGCGUGUGUGAAGAAGGUCUUCGGAUUGUAAAGCACUUUAAGUUGGGAGGAAGGGUUGUAGAUUAAUACUCUGCAAUUUUGACGUUACCGACAGAAUAAGCACCGGCUAACUCUGUGCCAGCAGCCGCGGUAAGAC
rnacentral:rRNA from 1 species